UGGGGGAUAUUGCACAAUGGAGGAAACUCUGAUGCAGCGACGCCGCGUGAGUGAAGAAGUAUUUCGGUAUGUAAAGCUCUAUCAGCAGGGAAGAAAGACUCGAAAGAGAGAUGACGGUACCUGACUAAGAAGCUCCGGCUAAAUACGUGCCAGCAGCCGCGGUAAUACGUAUGGAGCAAGCGUUAUCCGGAUUUACUGGGUGUAAAGGGAGCGCAGACGGUUAUGCAAGUCUGAAGUGAAAAACCACGGCUCAACUGUGGUCUUGCUUUGGAAACUGUGUAACUAGAGUGUCGGAAGGGUAAGCGGAAUUCCUAGUGUAGCGGUGAAAUGCGUAGAUAUUAGGAAGAACACCGGAGGCGAAGGCGGCUUACUGGACGAUAACUGACGUUGAGGCUCGAAGGCGUGGGUAGCAAACA
rnacentral:rRNA from 1 species